rnacentral:rRNA from 1 species
CGAACGCUGGCGGCGUGCCUAAUACAUGCAAGUAGAACGCUGAAGGAGGAGCUUGCUUCUCCGGAUGAGUUGCGAACGGGUGAGUAACGCGUAGGUAACCUGCCUGGUAGCGGGGGAUAACUAUUGGAAACGAUAGCUAAUACCGCAUAACAGUAGAUAUCGCAUGAUAUCUGCUUGAAAGGUGCAAUUGCAUCACUACCAGAUGGACCUGCGUUGUAUUAGCUAGUUGGUGAGGUAACGGCUCACCAAGGCGACGAUACAUAGCCGACCUGAGAGGGUGAUCGGCCACACUGGGACUGAGACACGGCCCAGACUCCUACGGGAGGCAGCAGUAGGGAAUCUUCGGCAAUGGACGGAAGUCUGACCGAGCAACGCCGCGUGAGUGAAGAAGGUUUUCGGAUCGUAAAGCUCUGUUGUAAGAGAAGAACGAGUGUGAGAGUGGAAAGUUCACACUGUGACGGUAUCUUACCAGAAAGGGACGGCUAACUACGUG